UGGACCAACUCAGGUUAGAAGGGUACCAGACCAGAAGAUCAGAUCGUAGAAGUUACUGGAGAAAAAGAUCAGCGGACAGCACUCUUGAACUACAUGCCAGGCCUCUUCUUCCUGGAACUCUAAUGGAUUUAAAUGGCUUAAGAGACGGGAUGAAUUGUUGAAAAUGGUUCUUUCAAAAGACCUCACGGAAGGCCAAAGACAAGACUCACUGAGGCCAAGCUGAUCAACAAUAUCUAUAAGUUGACGCAUUCUAAUCAUGUGGCGAUCUUGACCUUGGGAGCUUGAUUUGUGGACCAGUGUCCCCAAGAAGAUGACCAUCAGACAGAUGACAAUCCUCUCCAUGUUGCCAGGACUGGAUCUCAUAAGUACCAACAGUAGAGCUAGACCUUGGUCUCGUUUUCACUUCAGCUUGACUGAGAACAGGUAUACGUGUGCAUGUGCUAAUGUGUGGGGGCAGGGAUUGAUGGAGUCAACGAAAUGUGCCCCAUCUGCAUCUUUGACAGGAAAAAGAGAGAAUGGGUGAAUUCCAAUUUUCAGCAUGAAUCAAGAAUGUCACCGAUGAAGUUUUUGAAUGCUGUGCUCCUAAUCUCAUUUUCCUGUAAGCAUCCUCCAGAGACUUCGGUGAAGGAUGAUGCAAACUGUGUUUCUUCAGCAUGUGAGCACCAUCAGCCAUGAGUGUGGCAGCUCCAGAAUGUCUAUACCAGAGUGGCUGAGAGUCAGCAACUUGGCUGGAAGCUACACUUGAAUAGCAAACAAACCACUUUUACUUAGUUUCCAUGUCUAUUUGGUACCUUGGAGUACAGUGAUGAGUUUUACUAGAUGUGGACUUUCCAGGAAUAUAGCCAAGGUCGUCACCAUGAAAGUAUGAAACUUUAGUCAUUUACCCAAGGGGAUUCAUGGACAUAUAUUAAGAAUUUUCUUUAAUGGACUGUGUUUAUAGAACACCUGGUCAGGACGGAAAUGAGGCCAGGGAACUAAAGGGGUAGAAGUCUGAAGAGGAAUGGUUUUGCAUGGGAAAACUGUGCCAGGUCUAAAACUGGGCUGAACACUAUUUGUCCCCAACUCUCUGGCCCGGUCCUCAUAGUUCUUUCUGUGAUCCCUGCGUGGUGAAUACUCCUUUUCUGCUUUCACUGGCUUUGGCCCCUCAUGGAUAGAAUUAGAUGUUCUGCAUGGCAAACUGUGGGAAGAGAGGCCUCCAGUGUUUAGAGUGAUAUUAUCAUGUGUACCACUACUAUUAUACAUACUAAAGGUAUUCAGACAGG
rnacentral:lncRNA from 1 species